GUAUUUUUAGCUUAAUUGGAAAGAGUACUAACCUUCUAAGUUAGUUGUUGUAGGUUCAAGUCCUUCAAAAUACA
rnacentral:tRNA from 1 species